GGGGAUUUAGCUCAGCGGUAGAGCGCUUGCCUAGCAAGCACAAGGCCCUGGGUUCGAUCCCCAGCUCCA
rfam:Rattus norvegicus chromosome 1, whole genome shotgun sequence.